rnacentral:tRNA from 1 species
GCGCGGGUGGUGGAACGGUAUACACGUACGCUUGAGGUGCGUAUGCCGAAAGGCGUGCAGGUUCAACUCCUGUCCCGCGCA